CUGUCUGGAUCACAUAACAUUUACCCCUGAAUACGACUACAAUGUAAAGUCUGCAUUAAAAUCAGUCUGUGACGUCAAGCAGGUUGUUCUCUGUGUGGAACUGGAUCAUGUUCAAACUAAACCUGGGAAACGUUAUAGAACAUGAAGGUCUUUAUAGAACAUGAAGGUCUUUAUAGAACAUGAAGGUCUUUAUAGAACAUGAAGGUCUUUAUAGAACAUGAAGGUCUUUAUAGAACAUGAAGGUCUUUAUAGAACAUGAGGGUCUUUAUAGAACAUGAAGGUCUUUAUAGAACAUGAAGGUCUUUAUAGAACAUGAAGGUCUUUAUAGAACAGAAGGUCUUUAUAGAACAUGAAGGUCUUUAUAGAACAUGAAGGUCUUUAUAGAACAGAAGGUCUUUAUAGAACAUGAAGGUCUUUAUAGAACAGAAGGUCUUUAUAGAACAGAAGGUCUUUAUAGAACAUGAAGGUCUUUAUAGAACAUGAAGGUCUUUAUAGAACAGAAGGUCUUUAUAGAACAUGAAGGUCUUUAUAGAACAGAAGGUCUUUAUAGAACAGAAGGUCUUUAUAGAACAUGAAGGUCUUUAUAGAACAGAAGGUCUUUAUAGAAAAUGAGGGUCUUUAUAGAACAGAGGGUCUUUAUAGAACAUGGGGGUCUUUAUAGAACAGAAGGUCUUUAUAGAACAGAAGGUCUUUAUAGAACAUGAGAGUCUUUAUAGAAUGUGAAGGUCUUUAUAGAACAGAAGGUCUUUAUAGAACAGAAGGUCUUUAUAGAACAUGAUGGUCUUUAUAGAACAUGAGGGUCUUUAUAGAACAUGAAGGUCUUUAUAGAACAUGAAGGUCUUUAUAGAACAGAAGGUCUUUAUAGAACAUGAGGGUCUUUAUAGAACAUGAGGGUCUUUAUAGAACAUGAGGGUCUUUAUAGAAUGUGAAGGUCUUUAUAGAACAGAAGGUCUUUAUAGAACAGAAGGUCUUUAUAGAACAUGAUGGUCUUUAUAGAACAUGAAGGUCUUUAUAGAACAUGAAGGUCUUUAUAGAACAUGAAGGUCUUUAUAGAACAUGAAGGUCUUUAUAGAACAGAAGGUCUUUAUAGAACAGAAGGUC